CCUACGGGAGGCAGCAGUGGGGAAUAUUGGACAAUGGGGGGAACCCUGAUCCAGCCAUGCCGCGUGUGUGAAGAAGGCCCUCGGGUUGUAAAGCACUUUCAGUGAGGAAGAACGCCUGGUGGUUAAUACCCAUCAGGAAAGACAGCACUCACAGAAGAAGCACCGGCUAACUCCGUGCCAGCAGCCGCGGUAAUACGGAGGGUGCGAGCGUUAAUCGGAAUUACUGGGCGUAAAGCGCGCGUAGGUGGCUUGAUAAGCCGGUUGUGAAAGCCCCGGGCUCAACCUGGGAACGGCAUCCGGAACUGUCAAGCUAGAGUGCAGGAGAGGAAGGUAGAAUUCCCGGUGUAGCGGUUAAAUGCGUAGAGAUCGGGAGGAAUACCAGUGGCGAAGGCGGCCUUCUGGACUGACACUGACACUGAGGUGCGAAAGCGUGGGUAGCAAACAGGAUUAGAUACCCUGGUAGUC
rnacentral:rRNA from 1 species